CAGUAGCCACGGUAAUACGAAGGGUGCAAGCGUUAAUCGGAAUUACUGGGCGUAAAGCGUGCGUAGGCGGUGAGUUAAGUCUGCUGUGAAAUCCCCGGGCUCAACCUGGGGAUGGCAGUGGAUACUGGCUCGCUAGAGUGUGUCAGAGGAUGGUGGAAUUCCCGGUGUAGCGGUGAAAUGCGUAGAGAUCUGGAGGAAUACCGAUGGCGAAGGCAGCCAUCUGGCCUAAUACUGACGCUGAGGUACGAAAGCAUGGGGAGCAAACAGGAUUAGAUACCCCAGUAGUCCCUGUCUCUUAUAC
rnacentral:rRNA from 1 species